rnacentral:rRNA from 1 species
UUCCCCUAGUAACUGCGAGUGAACCGGGAAAAGCCGGUCUCCGGCCGCCCGAGUUGUAAUCUAGAGAAGCGUCUUCCGCGCUGGACCGUGUACAAGUCUCCUGGAAGGGAGCAUCGUAGAGGGUGACAAUCCCGUCUCCGACACGGACUACCAGGGCUAUGUGAUGCGCUCUCGACGAGUCGAGUUGUUUGGGAAUGCAGCUCAAAUCGGGUGGUAAACUCCAUCUAAAGCUAAAUACAGGCGAGAGACCGAUAGCGAACAAGUACCGUGAGGGAAAGAUGAAAAGAACUUUGGAAAGAGAGUUAAACAGUACGUGAAAUUGCUGGAAGGGAAACGCUUGAAGUCAGUCGCGUCGGCCGGGGAUCAACCCUGCUCCAUGCUGGGCGUAUUUCCCGGUCCGACGGGUCAGCAUCGAUUUCGAUCGUCGUAGAAGGGCGGUAGCGAACGUGGCACUCUUCGGAGUGUGUUAUAGCCUUCCGUAUGCUAUGCGACGGUCGGGAUCGAGGAACUCGGCACGACCCCUCGAGGGUUCGGGGCUUUUCAAAGCCCACGCAGCGUGUCUAGGAUGUUGGCAAUAAUGUCUUUAA